AAUGAUUUUAAGCUAGUGAGUGGGUUUGUGCCUCGUCUGAGUAAUUCACGCCCUAAAUAAAACUGGAUUAGCGCCUCAAAACAAACAGUUCAAUCGACGUUUUCUUUGAACACCAAUUUGAGAUUUUUUUACUAUUUCCUUUAUCUAUUAUUUGGAAUCCGAACAAGAUUGAUUUAUAAACUCUGGCUAUUUACUCCACAGUGCAGUGCAUCCAGUUUGAACGCCCACACACUGCCUGCCACGCCCACACUCCACACAGCCACAAAUUGUGCAAACAAGCGUGGGAAUAAGAGAGAGCCAGAGGAGACGAAACGAUAGGCAGAUUGGGGGGGAUAACAGCAUCAGGAGGUGGCUGCUAUUCGACUCCUCUUGCUCCUGAUUCUGAUCCAUGCAAAACUUGUGCCACAAAUCGCUUCAAUUUCGUUGCGUGUUCGGGUUUUGGGCAUUGUUGUCGCUGCUCCUGCUCCUGCUCCAGCUGCUGAUGCUGAUGCUACUGUUGCUUCUCCCCGGGUUGAGUUGUUUUUUCAGCUCGGUUUGUUCUCGACUGCAAUAAUCUUAUUAGCAGUUUGUUGUUCGAACCUAAUCAAUUACCAACGUAAUUACAAACUUUGCUAAUCUGCUUAGCUUGAAAAAACACACACACACACACAGAGACAAUCGAUAUAUAUAGACAGAGAACGAAAGAGAGAGACGGAGAUAAAGUGCGAAAGGAGUUGGGAGUGUUGCGGAGGUAAAGAUGAACAUUCCUGGCAAUGAUUGCUAACAGGAUGCCCAUUUAGAAAUUUUGUAGUUGAUGGAGCCGAACAUUGAGUAACUGAACUGAACUGAACUGACAGCAGGGUGAACCUGGCAAAGUUCACAUUACACGCUCGCAAGAGCAAACAUUCCGUCUAGCAAUUGACAGGAAAAACUCAUCUGCAAAUUAUAGAUAUUAGCUGGGGAGCUUAUGCUAUUUUCAUGUUGUAGAGCAGCCUUUUGUUAAGCUUAAUUUAAUAGUUAAUAUA